ACCGAAAUAGAAAUUCAUAAUUUGUCGAAACAUAAUCGAGUUCUGGCUCGAUACAAAUUCUUGCCUCCUAGCCAAAAUGGUCAUGACCCUUCCUCCAAAUGGUCACAUUGCCAUUUAUGAAGAAUUUCUGAGAUCUGAUCUUUAGUUUCCUCUCUAUCCUUUUAUUAUGAACAUAUUCGACGUGUACCAAAUAGUUCAGGUGCAAUUGGCACCGAAUUCUAUUCGUAUCCUUUGUUCUUUUGUUGUCUUCUGU
rnacentral:lncRNA from 1 species